GUACCUCCCGGAACCAAACCGCUAGGUGGGUGUGGUGGGCAGAGUUUCUGCAAUUUCCCUUGUUAUUCUCGGAUCCUGAGCAGACAGAAAUCUCCUUUUAUUUCUGAACCCCAUCUCGAGGGGCUGAGUUCAUGGUCAGUGGCAAAUGCCACAAGCUGGACUUAGAAGGUGGAAUAUGACCCUGUUGCAGAGCCUUAUACCCUAUACCCUAGUGGCCUGCAUCACCAGGUGACAUCCACCAAACCCAGCACUGUCUUCACCCAAUGGCAUUUUCGCUGACCUAAGUAUUCUGCCCUCCAAGAGUGUGCAAGCUACUCUCUCCUGGACAUAAGGGGGCAAAUGUCUCCAGCUAAUGGCCAAAACCCAGUCAGUUGUGAAAAGAGGAGGAAGAUCCAGAGCCCUUGGGGCUAGGACAGGGGAAGACUCACAACUCUCCUCCCUUUGUGCACUGCCUGGCUCCUGUUGGCAUAGCAGAGAGGGGUGGCCUAGUGAGCACCUGCACAUGUUUGUGCCUGGCCCUGGGGACAGACAUCUACCAGAAUUGCACCCCAUGCUCUGUCUUGCAGCGACAUGCAGGAUACUGAAAUGGUGGAGUGCAGGCCACUCAGAAGGUCUGAAUGAUUUGCGAGGGAGCUAAACUGCCUGUUUGAUGGCCUUGUCUGGAGUCAGAGCACUGCAGGUUGCCAACUGCCUACCCAAGCUCAGGGUGCCCUCCUUCGACCUCACUAACUUUUCCUGUCUAAGAAUCAAUAAUGGCAGGUUUCUUUCCAGGGUUAGUCCAGAUAAUCCUGGUAAGCCCUCCGUAAUAUUCCCAGAUUCAGGUUCCAACUGACCUCACAAGCUUUUCUAGUUUUGUUAGGAACUUUUACAGGAAGCACACCUAUAAUCCCAUUAGCUUAGGAAGCUGAGGCAGGAGAAUUGCAAGUUCAAAGCUAGCAUCAGCUCCUUAGGCCAUAAGCUCCUUAGUGAGGCCAUAAGCAACUUGGCAAGACCUUGUCAAAAAUAAAAAAUAAAAAGGAGUCUGGGGAUGUGGCUCAUUAGUUAAAUGCCUGUGGGUUCAAUCCCCUAUACCAUAACAAGAAAAAAAAUUUUUUGCAGAAUGUCUACUAGUAAGGGGGUUGGUUGGAGAAGCUGUUAUUUGGCUUCAGGAUCCAGUGGGGUUCCCCUUCUUUAAAGACUAUCUUAACCUGCUACCUGACAACACCUCCCACACUCCAGAUACACAAAGAUUUAAAAGCCAAAAACAGGUGUUUGGAGAUGGUAACCAUGGGACCUCAUCUCAUCCUAAAUCCCAAAUUCUGGGGGUACAUUCAGCUUUAGAAAUGAGUCUGAAUCUCAUCCUUCCUCCUAGGGAUGAUGGAGGGUUGUUCUACUACCCCAGAUUCCCCAGGGCACUUAGGACCUCAAGUAUGAUGAAGUGAACUGGGAACAAAAUUCUCUAGCCCAAGGACAAGGCCUUCCACAGCAGGCUGGCCUAACUAUGGCCUGAUGGGUGUCUUUCCUAGGCAAGAGAGUCCGUGAAGGAUAUGGGAAAUGACAACCCCCAAGACACAGGAGGAAGGAGGGGGGAAAGAAGGCAAAACGUGAACAACAAAACCUGACCAAAAAUAUCCUUUCCCAGUGAAAAGACAAUCCCUGGGAAGAGGGCAAACAUUGAUCCUUUAUUUCCCAGUGACAAUGAAGCCACACAUUAAUCCUGUUCCAGUGACAAUAUGAUGACCCUGGAUGAAAAAGAUAAGCACUAAGCCCUCAGGUCACCUCUCGGAGUCACGUAUAAAGACAAAACCUCCUAUAACCUGGAGCCAUUUUCUACCCAGAAAAUGAGCCCCUAUAAUGCCUGACGGAUUGACUCUGCAGCUGAAUAAAUGGCAUCACUGAUC